UACGGGGGGGGCAAGCGUUGUUCGGAAUUACUGGGCGUAAAGGGCUCGUAGGCGGCCAACUAAGUCGGAUGUGAAAUCCCCAGGCUCAACCUGGGAACUGCAUCCGAUACUGGAUGGCUUGAAUCCGGGAGAGGGAUGCAGAAUUCCAGGUGUAGCGGUGAAAUGCGUAGAUAUCUGGAGGAAUACCGGUGGCGAAGGCGGCAUCCUGGACCGGCAUUGACGCUGAGGCGCGAAAGCUAGGGGAGCGAACGGG
rnacentral:rRNA from 1 species